GAGACGGCCUGCUGCCUGCUCACCAACUUCCUCUGUGCCUUUUGGGCCCUCUUGUAGCCUCCUCCUGAGCUGUCUUGCCCGCCGGGGCACCACGAGACUCCUCCUCCAGGGCUCUGCCUCCUGGCCUUGCUUGGAAAGGACGGAGCUGGAAGGAGAUUUAAUACACACAGAAGAGGAGAUGGCAGAGCCGCCGAGGAAGCAGAGAUUGGCCACAAGACAAAGGCUGCUGGCAGCUCCCAGAAGCUCCUGCAGGCGAGGACUCUCUUACAGCCUUCGGACAGCUGUGACCCUGCUUCGACCCUGAUUAGGGCCCAGUGAUACUGACUUCGCAUUUCUGGCCUUCAGAACUGCACACAGCAAUCCACAUCUACAACAUCUCUUCAGGGUGGGGCUUGCCCUGUAUGGCCCUGUGCCCUCCUCCAGCAUCUGCUCUUCGCACAGGGGUGGCCCCUGAGACCUUCCAGGACCUGGGAUGGAUGAAGAAGCAACUCCCUCCUGCUCUUGGGCACACCCCACAGUGGGCCCUUCUCAUCUUGCUGGCCUGGGUUCCUCUGGGGAACUUCCCACCUGCAGAAAGGAUUAACCAGGUAGAGAGGCCAGUCCUUCUUCCAGGCACCUACAGUCUCCAUAAAUGAUUCCUCUAGCUGCCCUCUCCUCUCUUGGCUUUGAGUAAGUGGGUGAGAGAAGCACCUCUUUGUUUUCUGUAAAAAGAGAAGAGAGAAGUCUCUCACUACCAAACUGGGCAAAACCACAGGGUAAUUCGGUGACUCCCACCGCCACCCUUCCUCAUUCCACUCCUACUGGUGAGGCAGGUGGAGGGCUGCUGUUGAGUCUCUUUCUUCAGUCCAAGGCUUUGGGACUGCAUUCUUCAUCCCCUUUCCAGCUCCCCAUCCAUCCCACUGAGAGACACCUCCAUCUGGCAAAAUCCUCCUUUAUUUAGCAUCCUUCAAUUUGUCCAUGUGACCUGAUUCUUCCUGGAUGCUGUACAAGGACCCAGGUGUCAAGAGGGCACUGAUCUGGUUAACACAUAAGCCACCUGUGGAUGGCAGAGCUGAUAUAACACUGUAACAUGCCCAUUGGAACUUUGUGAGUUGCAGGUACCCACCCUUAGGCGCUGUGGGGCUGGAGCCCAAAAGUGCUCACCCUGGCUCCUGCACCUGCCCAUCUGUAGGCUCCCUGUCCUGUAAGGGGUUUGAGACUGUGGUGGCCUAACCGACGAGCCACACCCCUAUUGCAGGUCCUGUGAGGGGGGUCAGGGAACUCUCCUGUUUCAUAUUCACCUGGUAAUUGGAGUAGUCACUUGUGCUUGCUACUUGCCUUUAUCCAAAAGAAAAUAAAAAUGUGGAGCCAGGUGCCUGUUGAAGUUGGACUCCUACCGUCCCCUGGAAUCUGGGGAUAGGGCAUUCUCUUCCUCAAUGUUUACGUUUCAAAGAGAUGGUUCCCAGGUACUUGAGAAAAGCAUCCCUGGGUUGUAAAACUGGCAAGAAGCUUCUUUAGCUUUUAGAAAGAUUUGCAUAAAUCCAUCUGAAAAGGAGAGAGAAAGAAUUUAUGAUGAGACAUUUUCUUUUUUCUUUUUUUUUUUUUAAGAUGGAGUUUCGCUCUUGUUACCCAGGCUAGAGUGCAAUGGCGUGAUCUCGGCUCACCGCAACCUCUGCCUCCCGGGUUCAAGCGAUUCUCCUGCCUCAGCCUUCUAAGUAGCUGGGAUUACAGGCACCUGCCACCACGCCUGGCUAAUUUUGUAUUUUUAGUAGAGGCAGGGUUUCUCCGUGUUGAUCAGGCUGAUCUUGACCUCAGGUGAUCUGCCCACCUCUGCCUUCCACCUGGGAUUUGACAAGAGCCAUCACACCUGGUCUGAGGCAUUUUCUAAAGUAAAUCCUCUAAGCCUCAGGCCAUUAUUCUAAGAGAAGUAACUCAGGAGUGGAACGCCAAAUGCCAUGUGUUCUCACAAGUGGGAGCUAGGAGGAUGCAAAGGAAUACAGAGUGAUAUGAUGGAAUUUGGAGACUCAAGGAGGAAGGUGGGGAGUGAGGCAUAAAACAAUACAUAUUGGGUACGGUGAAUACAGCUUGGUUGGCCUGCAGACUAUAAUCUCAGAUUUCACCGCUAUAGAAUUCAUUCAUGUAACUGUGAAAGGACAAUAUCUUGGCCCCCAAAACCACUCAGAAAAACUCAUGCUGGAAACUGCUUAGGGCAAACCUGCCUCCCAUUCUACUCAAUGUCACCCCUCCACUCAUUGAGAUAGAUGCAUAUCUGAUUUCCCCCUUUGGAAAGGCUAAUCAGAAACUCAAAAGGAAGUACAUCGUUUGUACAUCACCUGUCUGUGACCUGAAAGCUCCCUCCCCACGAGUCUUCCUGCCUUUGCUUCAAGUUGUCCUGCCUUUCCAGAGCGAACCAAUGUACUUCCUACAUAUAUUGAUGGAUGUCUCGUGUCUCCCUAAAAUGUAGAAAACUAAGCUGUGCCCCAACCAGCUUGGGCAUGUCCGGACCUCCUGAAGCUGUGUGGUAGGCUCAUCCUCAACCUUGGCAAAAUACACUUUCUAAAUUAACUGAGACUUGUCUCAGAUCUUCUGGGUUUACAUAACAGGAAACCAGUUGUAUCAAAAGCGAUUGAAGUAAAAAAAUAAAUAAAAAGUAAAUCCUCUAAAGAACAAAGGUGGCAGGGGGUGAUCUCUUUUGCUUCUCGCUCUGGAGAAAAUUCGAGUUUUCUUUUUUUCCAUUUGUCUUUCCCUUUACACCAGAGCCCGAAAAGGCUCCCACAGGCCCUUUUGUUUUGAGGUCUCAUCCCUAGCUGGAUGACUGGCUGAAAGCUUCACCUGACCCAACAGAAAGUUAUACUCUUGGUUAAACUUGCUUGCGGCACAGCUUCCAGUGCAGGAAGGUUAGGGAAGGCCGGCACAGUUUUCUAAAUCCUCCUUCUGCUCCUUGCUCUCCAGAGGCAAACCACAGACACCUGUCUCCACCCAGGCACGGUACUUGAAUCCUGCAGUCCGGAGUCUUCAUAGGAAGCUAGUUGCAUGGGCACACACCUGCUGUGUGACAGGCUGUGAUUGGAGCUGAGGACGUCAAGUCUUCGUGUUUGCGUGAGACACUGCUGACUGAACAUCCCACUCCCGCUGCUGUGGGACUAGUUACAUUUCCCAGUAGUGCUCAAAACUUAAAUGUUCUCCAGCUAACAUCAAACAUCGAAAUAGCAGUUACCUAACUUCACCUGCUGUUAAUAUUUUGUCACCUUUUCACUAUCAGAAAGUAUGUAUGUUUGUAUGUAUCAUUAACCAAAAUCUAAGAUAGGUCUCAGCUAAUUUAGAAAGUUUAUUUUGCCAAGGUUAAGGACAUGCCUGAGGAGACACAGCCUCCAGAGGUCUGACAGCAUGUGCCAAGGUGGUCAGGGCACAGGUUGGUUUUAUACGUUUUAGGGUGACAUGAUACAUCAGUCUAUAUGUAAGAUAUCAGUUUGGUCUGGAAAGGCGGGACAACUUGAAGCUGGGUGGGGGCGUCCAGGGCAUAGGUAGAUAAGAGACUGGUGGUGCAUUCUUUUGAGUUUCUGAUUAGCCUUUCCAAAGAAAGCAGUCAGAUAUGCCUCUAUCUCAGUAAGCAGAGGGGUGACUUUGAAUAGAAUGGGAGGCAGGUUUCCCCUAAGCAGUUUCCAUUUUGACUUCUCCCUUUAGCUUAGUGAUUUGGGGGUCCCAAAUUUGUUUUCAUUUCAAAGUAUGUUUGUUUAUGUGUAUAUAUGUGUCUAUCUAUAUCAUAUGCUAAAAAAGUGCUGAACAAUUUGAAAGUCAUGUCACUUCACAUGCUUCUUUUCAGAAUGAAGUUCUGUAUAACCACCACAAUGGUUCCCCAGUUGCCUCGAAUAUAUCAUUUAAAGCUGCUUUUGAAAAAUCCUGGAUCCAAUCAUGCUUAUACAUUGAAACUGGUUUAAUGACUGUAAAUCUCUUGAAAGUAUUCCUCCCGUCUAACUGAAGCUUUGCAUCCGUGGACCGACACCUUUCCAGCCCAUCCCCCUCAACCACCCAACCCCUGGUAUCCAUCAUUCUAUUUUUCAUUAGUAUGAGGUCAACUUUUUAGAUUCCACAUAUAAAUGAGACCAUGAGAGUUUGUCUUUCUGUGCCAGACUUAUUUCAGUUAAUAUAAUGUCCUCCAGGUUCAUCCAUGUUGUCACGGGCGACGGGAUUCCCUUAUUUUAAUAUGUCAGUUACCUAGAUUUAGUUAUUCCACAAUGUAUAUAUACCUCAAAACAUUAUGUUUUACACAAGAAAUACAUGCAGUUUAAUGUGUCCAUCUAGAAAGUAAAAAAAAUGUCUUGUUCAAUCUAAUGUUUACAUUAAUUUUGUGAUGGCUUAAGUGAGACUUUUGUUACAUCAGCUUUAAACAUUUUUCAAGCUGUAAAUCUUAUGGUAGAACUUUGAGUAUUUUUUCUACCUUUAUUUCUGUGUUUGAGCAGAACCAUAAUUGUUUCCUGAGGAAAAUCUUCUGUUAAAAUUAUUCAAGAGCCUGUGUGUGUGUGUGUGUGUGUGUGUGUGUGUGUGGCGGAGUUUCGCUCUUGUCAUUCAGACUGGCAUGCAGUGGUGCGAUCUCUGCUCACUGCAACUUCUGUGUCUCAGCUUCAAUCAUUUCUCCUGUCUCAGUUUCCUGAGUAGCAGGGAUUACAGGUACCCACCACCACGCCCGGCUAAUUUUUUGUAUUUUUAGUGAGAUGGGAUUUCUCCAUGUUGGGCAGGCUGGUCUCAAGCUCCCAACCUCAGGUGAUCUACCCGCCUCUGCCUCCCAAAGUGCUGGAAUUACAGGUAUGAGCCACUGUGCCUGGCUCAAGGGCCUUUACAAUUUUAUGUCAUUUGAUCCACUGAUUAUACUUUAUAGGAACACUGUUAGGGGGAAAAUUAGACAUGCAAAGAGUUAUAAAUAAUGUUUUUCAAAUAUUAGUUAUAACAUAAAAAAUAAAUGAUACAAUUUAAAGUCAAAAAAUUGGGAACUUCUUUUUAUUUUGAGGCAGUUUCACUAUUGUUGCCCAGGCUGGAGUGCAAUGACACCAUCUUGGCUCACUGCAACCUCUGCCUCUCAGGUUUACGAGAUUCUCCUGUCUCAGCCUCCCCAGUAGCUGGGAUUACAAGCAUUCACCACCACACCCAGACAAUUUUUGUAUUUUUAGUAGAGAUGGGGUUUCACCAUAUUGGCCAUGCUGGUCUUGAACUCCUGACCUCAGGUGAUGCACCUGCCCCAGCCUCCCAAAGCACUGGGAUUAUAGGCAUAAGCUACCGACCCUGGCCCAAAAAUUGAGAAUUGCUUAUGAAGCGUUUCAAUUAGAAGGAAUAUGACACAAUGACUAAAGUCAUAUUUUGGCAGACUAUGGCCCAGCUUGGGAAAAUGCUCAUGAUGAAAUGUUUAAGAGUUAAAGUCAGGAUAUACAUCUAUAUACAUAUAUAUAAAUGCAGAUAAUCCCUGCAAAACAAUGGUAAAAGCUAAACAUUUGAUGUAGGAACAAAAAGUUUGAAGAAGCAAAAACAAAAAUAGGCAUUUUGCCUCCUCGGCCUGAUGUUUGGGUAGAUAACUAGAGCACUGUCAUAUGUUGUAGUAUGUUCUUUUAUAAGGGAAGAGAAGAAUAUGUAAGAACUAAGUUAGCAAAACAAGACCAAUCAUUACUAACCAUUAGUAAUAUUGCAGUUUUGGAAUUCCUCAGCAAAACCAUGAACAAUUUCUCAUAGAUUAUUAAAGAACUAAAUACAAAGUAUCAGUCUUAAAUCCAAAUUAUAAUUGUCACCAGCAGAAAAAGUCACCACCAAAUACUGGCAAAUAUUAAAACUGCACAUAAAAAAAUGUUUGUUAGAGAUUUUCUAGAACUGAGGGAGGAGGAAUUAAAAAAGAGAGCGAGGUUUUCUAGAACUGAUGAAGAAUUGUGAUUUUUCUGUAAGUCUUGACUUUGUAGAAAUUGGCGACAAAAGGUGAACUCUUAAUUUCUAGAUUUUGUCACAAAGGCUCCCUUUAAAAAAAAAAAAAAAAAAAGGUGUCCUGGUCAGUUAUCUGUUGACGUAAGAGAAUACUACAAACUACAUAAUUUAUAAAGAAAUGGAGUGUAUUUUUGGCUCAAGAUUCUGGAGGCCGAGAAGUCCAAGAGAAUGGCACCAGCAUAUGGCAAGAAUCAUGCCAUGAUAUAACGGCAUCUGACUACGAGACAGAGAGAAAACGGGGGCCAAGCUUAUCCCUUUGUUAGGAGCCCACUCCUGUGAUAUCAGCAUCAGUCCAUGUGAGUGGAGACUUCAUGGGCUAAUCACCUCUUAACACCUCACCUCUUAUUCCUGUUACAAUGGCAAUUAAGUUUCCAAAACAGAAACUUCGGGGGUAUAUAUUUAAACCACAGCAUGUGGGAAAAAACCUUUAUCAUGGUCAGGUUUAAUAAAAGUUUAUCCCCCAAAUAACUGAGAAGGGUUAGUUUUAUUUUAUUUGCAGACCCUCAAAUACCAAGUUCAGUCUUGUAAGCCUUUUCUUUCCCUGGACACUGGGCAGGAGCUCAGAGGGGAGCAUUCACAGGGUGCACUGAGGGAGAAUGAGAGUGGGAGAGGUGUCAAGGUGCCCCAGGUGAGUAGGAACCUCAUAGCACGGGAGAAAGCAGAGGAAAUGCCCACCUUCAAAGAGCCAGUGACAGGAAUAGACUGUAAACCAAUGGGCUCCUCUGGAAUGAUCUGGGUCAUUUGCACUCUCUGAGUAGAGGGGAUGCUACCUGUGCUGGUGAUGCUCUGUUCUUUUCCACCUGACCCCUCGGUUCACUCUCCGCUCUCUGCUAUUCUUCUCUGUGCCUGGGAUGCCUCCUCCUGUGGGCAUUGUCCCUCCUGCUCUUAUGCCGUUAGGUUUCCCCGAAGGGUUGGGCCAAGGGGAAGCACUGACUGAUACGGGGUCAGAGAGUGGGAGGAGAGGAAAGUUGGGUUUGUAUUUUUCUUUCUUUCUCCCUACUUUGGCAUGGUUCUGGCAGAGAAUGCAGCCUGUAUGGGCAGAUUCUUCUAGAACUCUAGCUUUCACCCAGGCUCUGGUAACACAUUGCCUGGGAUGAUAAAGCUUCCCACAGUACCUCAGCAUACCCUUUGUGUCCCUUGACCAGUCUGUGUAAUCGUUCACUCCCUUUAAAAGUGUCUUCAAGGCCGGGCAUGGUGGCUCACACCUGUAAUCCAAGCACUUUGGAGGCCAAGGUGGGCGGAUCACCUGAGGUUGGGAGUUCAAGACCAGCCUGACUAACAUGGUGAAGCCCCAUCUUUAAAAAAAAAAAAAGUGUCUUCAAAAAUCCCACAUGAUUGUGAACCACUGGCAUAAACCCUGAGUCUGAGUGACAGCACUGGGUUCCAUCUGAAGAGACUUCUUUUUUUUUUUUUUUGGGAGAUGGAGGUUUACUCUUGUUGCCCAGGUUGGAGUGAAAUUGCAUGAUCUUGGCUCACCACAACCUCUGCUUCCCAGGUUCAAGCAAUUCUUCUGCCUCAGCCUCCCGAGUAGCUGGGAUUACAGGCAUUCGCCACCACAUCCGGCUAAUUUUGUAUUUUUAGUAGAGACGGAGUCUCUCCAUUUUGGUCAGGCUGGCCUCAAACUCCUGACCUCAAGUGAUCCACCUGCCUCAGCCUCCCAAAGUGUUGGGAUUACAGGUGUAAGCCACCGUGCCUGGCCUGCAGAGACUUCUAAAGGGCAUGAUCACAUAACUCACAGGUGGAACAGCUUACAUUGAUGGCACCACUUCUAUGCUAGAAAGAAACUUGGCCGUAGGAAAAAAUCUUCAAAGCAUGAUUAUACUUUGUACACUUGGCUAUUGUCUACCUGCCUUUCCCUGCUUUAAAACUAAAGGCUAUUCUGGGAAUCUGUGGGAGCUGUUACAUCACAGGACUUGCUCUAAACCACUGCUCCUUCAUGCUUUCUCUGUAGAAACUGGUAUCAAGCAAGCAAUCUUUCUUUCUCAUAGAGAAGCAAUGGAGUUUCUCCAUGCAGUGGUGCUGCCUCUCCACUAAGCAAAAAUGGAAAUUAUGUCUUCAAAAAUAGGGCCUGUAGUCCUUCUCUACAGCAUGCAGCACAUUCAUUUAGACACCUAAAAUAAACUCAGUGUGUCUAUGCAGAGCUAAGAUGACCAGAGUGAAAAACAGAGAGAAGCUGUUUUUAUUGGAAAACACUCUGAUUUGUAUGACGCAUAUUGAAGAGAAAUUUCAUUAACUGCUUCUCUAGGAAAAAGAAACGUUAUUUCAGAAAAGGAAGGAAUGGGUAACCAGCUCAAUUGCAGUGGCAUGACGUUUGGACCUCUGAAUGUCUCUUUAUGUAGAAAUCCCAAUUUAGCUAAAAUUCCCACAAACAAAAUUUGACCAUUACCAUCAAUGACAACAAAUAUUGGAUGUAUUAAUUUAACCCUGGAUUCCCUAAGGACAGGGAUUUGAUAAAAGGGUAGCUCACUGAAUUAUGAGCCAACAGUCAAAUUUAAAUGGAGUUCGAAAUAACAAAACUUGAGAUUCUUUCGUGUAUUUAAUUAUACUUUUAUUGAAUAAAGGGAAAGGCUAGAGAUUUUGGUGACAUUUAAGACAAUAAAAAAGAUAUUUUCAUCACUGCUGUAUUUUGAAUGUGUCCUCCAAAGUCCAAGUGUUGGACACCAUCCCCAAUGAAACAGUGUUGAGAGGUGGGACCAUUUAUAGGCGAUCAGACCCUGAGGGACCUGCCUUCAUGAAAGGAUGAAUGUUGUUAUUGAGGGAGUGGAUUCACUGUCUCUAGAGUGGGUUUGUGAUGGAUGUGAGUUGAGUUUGCCAUCACUCUCUUGCCCUUCUGCUUUCCACCAUGGGAUGACACAGCAGGAAGGCCCUUGUCAAAUACCAGCAGCAUGUUCUUGGACUUCCCGAUCUCCAGCACUGUAAGCCAAAUACCUAUCUGUUCAUGAUGGAUUACUCAAUCUGUGUGCUCUGUUAUAGCCACCCAAAUGAAGUAAGACAAUCACUUUUACAUGUCAAAGGUCAGAAACUACUAAAAUUCAAGUAACGAUGUGUAACUUUAGUUUGUUUUUGAGUAAUAUAUAAUAAAAGCCAAAGCAGCAAUCACUUAAGCUAAAAAAAAAAAAAAUCUCGGCUGAGUGGGCAACGUGUGUCUAUCAGGACCCCAGCUCAUACAGAGCUCAAUUGGUGCUUCCAUUCUGACUGUGUGAGGCACUGAAGCAGACAAAUAUGAUGUACAGAAGGAAAACAAAUGUAAUAUUCACAAUAAUCCAUUCUAAAUAAAAUAAUUUCCGUGAAAUAAAAAUGAAAACAAAUAGAUGGAAACACUUUAUGUGUUAAAUAAAUUACAUUUGAUCUUAGCCAAAAGGCCGAGAAGCAAUGUGUUAAAUAAACAUGCUGAAGUAAAAUGUAUGAGUAGUUACAUAAUUUUCAAUAAGGUAUUUGUGUUCAUAAUCGCAGAGUCAAAAAUCCAUCAGGCUGGAAAAUAGUGGCAUCAAAAUGUCACAAAAACAGAGGUGAACAUAAAUCCUUACUUUUCUGAACUCCAUUCCGUCCCACCAUUUCUAGCAUGAGAAAGAGCAGCACAUACAGAGAUACGAGGCUCACCCAGUGUAUUAGCCUAUUUUGUGUGGCCAUGAAAGGAACAUCUGAGUUGGUAAUUUAUAAAGAAAACAGGUUUGUUUGGCCCAUGGUUCUACAGGUUGUAUAGGAGGCAUGGCAGUCCAGGCACAGUGGCUCGUGCCUGUAAUCUCAGCACUUUAGGAGGCUGAGGCAGACGGAUAACUUGAGAUCAGGAGUUUGAGACCAGCUUGGCCGACACAGGUGAAACCCAGUCUGGUAAAAAUAUAAAAAAUAGCAGGGCAUGAUGAUGGGUGCCUGUAAAUCCAGCUACUUGGGAGGCUGAGACAUGAGAAUUACUUGAACCUGGGAGGGGGAGGUUGCAGUGAGCCAAGAUUAUGCUACUGCCCUCUAGACUGGGUGACAGAGUGAGACUCUGUAUCAUAAACAAAAACAAAAAACAACCACAAAAAAGAAGAAGCAUGGCACCAACAUCUGCUUCUGGAGGAGGCCUCAGGAAGCUUCUAAUCCAUGAGAGAAGGCAGAUGGGGAGUAGGCAUGGCACGUGGAAAGGAGGGAGCAAGAGAGAGAGGAAGGCAUGCCAUGAUCCUUUAAACAGCCAGCUCUCGUGUGAACUAAUGGAGCACAAAUUCGCUUGCUGUCAUGGGGAGGGAGGGUACCAAGCCAUUCAUGAGAGGUCCGCCCCCAUGACCCAAACACCUCCCACCAGGAACCACCUCCAAUGUUGGGGAUCAUAUUUCAGCAUGAGAUUUGAAAGGGACAAAUAUCCAAACAGUAUCACCCAAUGGUAAAGAUUUUAGAAUGGGGCACUGUUAGUACACAAAUAGGUACAGAGUAUGGAGGAAAAGAUGAGCUAUGUUGUACCGAGUUGAACUUUCAUGUGGGCAAAGAGAGUAGCAAGGAGGUUGGUUAAGUACGUGUUAAGAAAAUGUGUUAAAAUGUAUUUAAAUUUUUAUAAAAUGUGUUAAGAGUGUUAACAGUAAGUGGAAAACUUGGGUAGAAAAUACUGGAAAUAAAGUCGAAUCUGUUUUAUGGUGGCAAAGACAGAAGGUUGCCCCGUCACAUUAAAGAUCAAGUGCCAAAUUUGAGUGAUCUGAGGAUCUGUAUACCAACCAGUCCAUGGCCGUGUCUGAGGAAGGCUGUUCUCUGAGAGCCACAGGACCAGCUGCUGAGGUCAGGGUGCAUAUUGGCCUCAGGACGGUCCUUCCAAAGCCUGGCUAGCAGUCAUUGGCCUGGCAGUCAAUGUUGAGCCGUGCCGAUCUGAUUAUAUCCCAGUGAUGUUGAAAUUCAGACUGAGAAACUCAGUUUCUUGGGGAAAUAGGAUUAAGAUUCAUUUAUUCUUGGGGGCUGAAAUGGCCAUUUUUAGACAUUUAAAAGAGGAAGAAGCAGAGAUAACUGGGGUGGAAGGCGCAGAAAGCAGCAAGCAGAGGUGAGGAAAUCCCUCAGGCAGGGGAGACAGCAUUGCCCUGGACUGCCCCCCUGUUUUUCUUUCUACUCCUUGAGUGUUCCAUAUGUAUUUUCCUUUGUUACCACCCACAUCUGUGGAUAGUCUGUUUAUUAACCCCGCCCACUUCCUCUACAUGCUAAGCGUGAAUGGUCUCUGCCACUCUCAGUAGGGUUUUCAAAUAAACCUAUUGACAUGGAUUAGAUUCAAAUCUGCUUGUGCAUUAUCUAUGACAUGCAGAGAUCUAGGCAUCAUGGCAGGAACUUCUGCAGGAUUGCUCAUUAGCUUAGCAAUAUUCUCCCACACACCAGAUUGAGAUUUGUGCCUUGCAGAGGUGCAAAUUGGAGUUACCAAGGAAGAGCUGAAAUUGCAAAUGUUUACCCCAUGAAUGCCAAGAUUUCAGCACGCAUGUGUGCCUGUGUAUAUUUAUGUGUAUAGUUAUUAUACACAGUGUUAUAAUACAGUAGGUAUCGCCGACGGUAGGAUUGUUGUCAAUUUGAAAUUUUUAUUUCUUAAGUUUUCGAUAGCAUGUAUUAUUAUUAUAUUUUAAAAAGCAACUGCUACAUUAUUCAAGAAAAAAGUAGUUGAGCCUUAAUUGGAAGAUCUAUACAAUUAAUGUGGAGAGAGCCUGGGUUGAUUAAGAAAAUGUGCAUCUGUAAUUUAUAUAAACUGUGCCAAGAAUUUUGCCCUGAGGUCUGCAUACAAUGUCACAUAAUGGCUCUGCUUGUCAACACCUGUGUGUAUGCUCUCCUGGGGAGAAAUUGUGGGAGAGUAGAAGUGGAAGAGAAGGCAACAGCAGGAGCUGGCUUCUUGGAGGGGUCCUUCCCUCUAACUGUGGCGGAGCCACAUGUCGAGGGCGUCUGUCCCUGGAGGACAGGCACUUGCUGGCUCUCUUCCCUCUAGUAGCACCUUUUUUAAGACUUAUGUUGGAACGCUAUAUAUUAGAGUUAGCAUAAAAUAAUGAAAAUGGCCAUCACGGUGAAUGCCCCCUGAUCUUGGGGACCAGCAAUUUUCCUGUAUGAGCUCCACAUUUAAAAUAACACGACCUCCCCCUACUCCAGGUUGUUUAUCCUAGAAAAACUCCCUCUUCUCCCAACUUGUGCUGUGCUUUGUAAAUCAGGUCCAGAGGAAGAUAAUAUUUGGAAAUAUUUUAUUCUCAGGUCUGACUUUCUUGGCUCAUACUUGGUGGCAGACCCAGAACAGAUGUCCUGUGGGCCCUGGGCCAAUGGCUGCAUGGCUGGCCGUCUGUGAGCCCUUACAUCUUGGCUGAAGUGACAGCCACCUGACGUUUAUUUUAGCAGGACAGUUUGGGAUGAAGGAAAACUCACUAACUACUGUUUAACAUUACAUUUUCAAAGAACAUAGAGUUUCUUUUUUUUUUUUUUUUUUGAGACGGAGUUUCGCUCUUGUUACCCAGGCUGGAGUGCAAUGGCGCAGUCUUGGCUCACUGCAACCUCCACCUCCUGGGUUCAGGCAAUUCUCCUGCCUCAGCCUCCUGAGUAGCUGGGAUUACAGGCACGCGCCACCAUGCCCAGCUAAUUUUUUGUAUUUUUAAUAGAGAUGGGGUUUCACCAUGUUAACCAAGAUGGUCUCGAUCUCUUGACCUCAUGAUCCACCAGCCUCGGCCUCCCAAAGUGCUGGGAUUACAGACGUGAGCCACUGCGCCCAGCCAGAACAUAGAGUUUCAUACUCGAGUAUCGUUUCUUGGCCAGUCUAAGAAAAGACAAUAAUGGAAAGAGGAAUGAAUUGCUUUUCUUAGUAACAAGACCAAUACUUACUGGAAGCCCAGGCCACCCUCCUCCUUUCACUUUAAAGGAAAAAAAGGGGUAAACCAAGAGGUGAGGGAUCUGGGUUUGUGAGUACAGGACCCACAAACUAUUCUUGGUGGUUAAAGAAUGCCUUAGCAUCCUUAGAUGCUUACUGAUUAUGGGUGUCUGGAAUUUGCUGCCAAUACUGUGGGGAGCCAGAGUCUGCAUCCUGCUGUGGGUGCUGAAUUCCUGCCACUGUCCCCAGCAGUGCCCUGCACACACCUCCUACUCUGGCAAGACCACUGGCCUUCGCAAACACCAGGCCAGGAUGUCCUGGCUGCGUUUCCCUGCAGCAUCACCUGACGGAGCUCUGUUCAGCAACUGCACGCAGGCUGAGUCAGCCUGACCCAAUUCUCUCAGAAGUAGCUCAAUACUUUGGAAUUCUGGAGACUACAGUAUCACAGUCACUCAUAUGGCAGAAUCGGAUGUGUCCCAGGGGCAAGAGAGAGCCAAGUGUGGUUUCCUCAGCUUGCCAAGUGCUGGACAAUGUGUUUACUCCAUUACUGUGCUCCUGCUUUCUGCCAGUCAUGGCAGGAAAUAGUCUGUUGUGCUGGAGGUUUUGAUCCACACUGGCCGACAGGAAGUGUUGCAGUGAUGUUGCCAAAGGCGCCACAGGGUGCAGAUGCUGGGGCUGCUCAAAAUGCAGAUUUUGUGGCAUCUUAACAAGUUGAUGUAAAAUCAGAAAUUUGGAUGACUAGAAGUCCUUGAACAUUCGAGAGUGAAUCUUAUCCAUCAUCCAGCGGGUGGAGGGACCAUCAGUGGCUAGAUGUAAAUGGAAAGAGAGUGGGAAUGUGCCUCAUCGCAGCAGGAUCUGACACAAAGGAGGUGGAGGGUUGCACCUGUGUUCUCAUGAUAAAGGGGGCUCCUAGCACCGAGUCAUGAAGCCUCUCACUCCCAGCAGAAAAGCUCUUAAAGCUCUUGGCCCUAACGACAGUGCCAGGAGUCACAGCAUGGCCAUUGUCCUGAAACCCCAGUCACCUCUCCCUGCUGCCCAUUUGGCCACAAGUGAGUGCGUCUCCUUGAGCAUGGCUCUGCCCUGGCAGCCUUCUCAAGGGCUCUUUGGGCCAGCGGCCCUCCUCCCUUUCUUUCUCUCUUCCUUUCAUACGCCAUAACAGGAUUUUUAAAUGCUGCUGAAUACCUUCAAGUUGCCAUUUAAUGUUUUUAAAUUUAGGCUUCAAUAGCUACUACAAAGGAGGGAAUAUCUGACAGAUAUCGACAUUAUGCUCCAUGGGCUCUAAUCCAUGAAUCAAAUAAAUGUAUUGUUAAUCUUCCAAUGUGGUAUCAUUUUAUUACUUCGUGACAUAAUUUCAUUUGUUAUUUAUUUUAGAUUUAUUUGUGUUUUUGUCAAAUAAUGUGUCAAAUAAUAUGAGAUCAAUCCUUUGAAUGUUGUGGGAAUUUCCUUUCUGGCUUUAUAUUUUCUUUACAUUGAAAGAAACAGACUUAGUUUACAUUAAUUCAAUUUUCUCAAAUGUUGCAAAUGUGCUGAUAAAGAAUGUGUUUUUAGACAAAUCCAUAGAAACAAAGUAUUAAUAGAUCGGUGGUUGCCAGGGGCAGGGUGUGGGUAUGGUAAGAAGGGAAUAGAGAAUGACUGCUAAUGGGUAUGGGUUUCUUUUGGGAGUUACAGAAUGUUCUGGAAUUGGAUAGUGCACAAUUUUCUAAAUACAUAA